UCUACGGGUGGCUGCAGUGGGGAAUUUUGCGCAAUGGGCGAAAGCCUGACGCAGCAACGCCGCGUGAGUGAUGAAGGCUUUCGGGUCGUAAAGCUCUGUCAGGGGGAAAGAAGUGUAUUAUGGUUAAUACCCAUGAUACUUGACGGUACCCCCAAAGGAAGCACCGGCUAACUCCGUGCCAGCAGCCGCGGUAAUACGGGGGGUGCAAGCGUUGUUCGGAAUUAUGUGGGCGGUUUGUUAAGUCGGAGGUGAAAGCCCCGGGCUCAACCUGGGAAGUGCAUUGGAAACUGGCAGACUUGAAUACGGGAGAGGGUAGUGGAAUUCCUGGUGUAGGAGUGAAAUCCGUAGAUAUCAGGAGGAACACCGGUGGCGAAGGCGGCUGCCUGGACCGAUAUUGACGCUGAGACGCGAAAGCGUGGGUAGCAAACAGGAUUAGAUACCCUGGUAGUC
rnacentral:rRNA from 1 species